rnacentral:rRNA from 1 species
GGCUGAAAUUCGCCUUCAUGAAGCUGGAAUUGCUAGUAAUGGCAGGUCAGCAUACUGCCGUGAAUACGUUCCCGGGGCCCUUGUACACACCGCCCGUCACACCAUGAGAGUUGGAAAUACCCGAAGCCUGUGAGCUAACUUAAAGAGGCAGCAGUCGAAGGUAGAGCCAAUGAUUGGGGUGAAGUCGUAACAAGGUACC